GUCAGGCUGGAGGGUGCGGGCGUGUUUGAAUUGUCAGCUGGGGCGCAGGCUCAGGGUCUGGAACAGCUCGAGGCUGUGACUAAGCUGUGUGAUUUUGACAGCCGGCAGCGGGAUGCUGAAGUAGGAAGGGGCAGGAAUGCGGAACAACUGAAAGGAAAUGGGCGCUGACCUUUGGAUGCGAAUUAAUACCUAAGAGAUGUCUGUUACCUUCUUGAAGUGAUUGCGAAUUCUAAACUGGAUGCCAGUGGUGUGUAGAAAGGAGCUAACUCCCGCCAACACUUUGGUUAAAUGAAAAGCCAGAAGUUGUGCUGACCCUAUUUUCAGCCUUACAGAAAACCCGGCAGCAGCCAAAGGAGCGCCAGGAGGGAAACCCCUCUGUAGCUGCCCUUCUCCUCCUGACCUGCUUCACUCAGCACCAUCUUCCAAUUCCAACCACUGUACCCCAAAGGACACGGUAGCAUCCUUUUUAUUGCUGCAUAACACUGGUGAGUAGAUAUCUUGUCUUUUUUUUUUUUUUUUUUAAGAGUUCUAUUUAUGUGUGGUCCGGGAGGUGGCACAGUGGAUACAGCAAUGGACUCUCAAGCAUGAGGUCCUGAGUUCAGUCCCCGGCAGCACAUGUACCAGAGUGAAUUCUUCUCUUUAAACAGCUCUUGGAACUUCUAGCAGGUCACUUUCUGACUUUAGUAUCUUUAGUAUUUGCAAAAGGAAGGGCAGUUUUCAGUGAUUUCUAAGUCAUCUUCCUGUCUGCUACUCUGAACCUCUGACUUGAACUUUUCCCUUAUAAGAAUCAGAGAAGCUAAGUGACUUUCUCAAAAGGAUAUUUCUGGGAGGCGGGCAUUAAUGCAGCGGGUGAAGCUCAGUGGUGCAAAGCGCAAGGAUCAGUGUAAGGAUCCCGGUUUGAUCCCCCGGCUCCCCACCUGCAGGGGAGUCGCUUCACAGGAGGUGAAGCAGGUCUGCAGGUGUCUGUCUUUCUCUCCCCCUCUGUCUUCCCCUCUUUUCU